rnacentral:rRNA from 1 species
UACGUAGGAUGCAAGCGUUGUCCGGAAUUAUUGGGCGUAAAGAGCGCGCAGGCGGUAUGACAAGUCAGAUGUGAAAGAGGCCGGCUUAACCGGCAAGGGUCAUUUGAAACUGUCAGACUAGAGUGCAGCAGAGGAUAGUGGAAUUCCCGGUGUAGUGGUGAAAUGCGUAGAUAUCGGGGAGGAACACCAGUGGCGAAGGCGACUAUCUGGGCUGCAACUGACGCUGAGGCGCGAGGCUAGGGGUAGCAAACAGGG